rnacentral:lncRNA from 1 species
AUGUGGAAUAAACUAUCAGAUUUAGAACAUCAAAAUGCAAUGCAAGAUAAAGGUACCUUGACGAACAAAUCUGUGCGUUUUGCAAAAAAAUAUAUUACUUUUAUAAUUACAUUUAUAUUAGUUGUUUUUGGAUUCUUCUAUGCUUUGACAUAUUAUUACCAAAAUGAUAACUCAAAUGAUUAUGAAUUAAAUUGUGAUGAUUUAAAAGGAAAAUGCCAGAAUUAUGAAUAUCCAAGUUUUAUAGAGAGUAGGCUCCAAAUUGUUGACUUCAAUGAUAAUAACCACAACGUAAUAUUAAGAAGUAGUGUACCCUUGUUUGAUGGUGUAUAUUCGGAGGGAUUAUUACGAGAAAGUAUUAAAAAAUUAAUGGAAGCAUCAAAGAUGAAUUAUGAUGAAAAUUCGGAUCUUUAUAUUAUAUCCUUUUUAAGAAAUACUGAUAGCGAAGGGUGUUGUUAUACUGCAGAAAAGUGUACCGUAGAAUUUGCAACUGUCGUUAACCACGUCAUUUUGGGGCACGAAGUGGACCCAUAUGAUAUGGAUGAAAAGACUCUUUAUAAAGAACUAACAAGUUUAAAUUGGGACACUGACAAGUUAAUAUAUAAUAUAAAUGACAUUAAAAAAAAAUUUGAUACAUUUAACAACACCAUAUUUCUAAUUCAUUGUAAAAGAGGUAUACACAGGACUGGUGAGUUUGUUGCGGCAUAUAAAAUGAUAGCAAACAACGAAUAUUUUCAUACAACAGUUACAGAUAAUGAAAAAAUAGGAAAACCACAAUCGAAGAAUAUUAGAAUGUUAAAAUGGUUAUGUUUAUAUUUAGAAAAAAUCACAAAUAAUGAGAGUAUAGGAUGUUAUGACUAUAGAUAAAAAGUAUAUAUAUGAAAAGCAAGGAAAUGUUAUUUUUGUAUAUGUACAUGCACUAUAUAUUGUUAAGUGUUAUUAUUAAUAAUUUGUACUUAUUAAAUCUUGCGUUAUUGUAUAUAUAUAUAUAUAUAUAUAUAUAUAUAUAUAUAUGUAUGUAUGUAUGUAAAUGUAAAU